rnacentral:rRNA from 1 species
UCUACGGGAGGCUGCAGUAGGGAAUAUUGCUCAAUGGGGGAAACCCUGAAGCAGCAACGCCGCGUGGAGGAUGAAGGUUUUCGGAUUGUAAACUCCUUUUGUUAGAGAAGAUAAUGACGGUAUCUAACGAAUAAGCACCGGCUAACUCCGUGUCAGCGGCCGCGGUAAUACGGAGGGUGCAAGCGUUACUCGGAAUCACUGGGCGUAAAGAGGGCGUAGGCGGGAUAGCAAGUCAGAUGUGAAAUCCUAUGGCUUAACCAUAGAACUGCAUUUGAAAAUGUUAUUCUAGAGUAUGGGAGAGGUAAGUGGAAUUCUUGGUGUAGGGGUGAAAUGCGUAGAGAUCAGGAGGAAUACUCAUUGCGAAGGCGACCGGCUAGAACAUAACUGACGCUGAUGCGCGAAAGCGUGGGGAGCAAACAGGAUUAGAUACCCGGGUAGUC